AGACAGGUUAGUUUUACCCUACUGA
rnacentral:ncRNA from 4 species